rnacentral:rRNA from 1 species
UACGGGGGGGGCAAGCGUUGUUCGGAAUUACUGGGCGUAAAGGGCUCGUAGGCGGCCAACUAAGUCAGACGUGAAAUCCCUCGGCUUAACCGGGGAACUGCGUCUGAUACUGGAUGGCUAGAGGUUGGGAGAGGGAUGCGGAAUUCCAGGUGUAGCGGUGAAAUGCGUAGAUAUCGGAAGGAACACCUGUGGCGAAAGCGGCUCACUGGACCAUAACUGACGCUGAGGCACGAAAGCUAGGGGAGCAAACAGG